GGGCCUGCAGGGCACUCCGUGCCCGCCGGUGCCCGCCGGUUCCCGCUCGGCCUCGGCCAGCGCGCUCCCACCGGGCGGUACUCACAAGCAGCAGGACGACUUUGAACAUGCCCAUCGCGGACACCGGACUUCGAGAUUAAACUGCUUCCCACUCCUAGCUUGCUGAGAAUUCUUAGGAAUGUCAGUUGGAACUUUUCAGGGGAUCUCUUUGCAUCUGUGGAGAUUUAUUUAUGUAAAUGAGUUUUCACGCACGCCAGAGGAGAGAAUCAGAUCCCAUUACAGAGGGUUGGCAGCCACCCUGUGAUUUCUGGGAAUUGAACUCAGGACCCCUGGAAGAGCAGCCAGUGCUCUUAACUGCUGAACCAUCUCUCCAGCCCCUUGCUUGAAUUCUCAGGCUACACUUGGCAUUGUUUUGUUUUGUUUUGUUUUGUUCUAAACAUAUUGCUGAAUUUGACUUGGUAAUUUUUUUUUUUUUUUUUUUUUUUUUUUUUUAAGAUUUACUCAUAAUGUAUUCAGGGUUGACCCUGCAUAUACACCUACAGGCCAGGUUGUGAGCCGCCAUGUUUUUGCUGGGGUUUGAACUCAGGACCUUUGGAAGGGCAGCCAGUGCUCUUAACCUCUGAGCCAUCUCUCCAGCCCAAUAUUUUCUUCUUUAUCUAAAUGAUUUUUUUUUUUAUGUGCAUCGGUGUUUUGCCUACAUGUAUGCCCGUUUAAGGGUGUUGGGUCCCGUGGAGUUACAGAGAGUUGUGAGCUGCCACAUGGGUUCUGGGAAUUGAACCGGGGUUCUCGGGAAAAACACCCAGUGAUCCCAACCAUUGAGACAUCUCCAGCCCCUGAAAAUAUCUUCUUAAGCCUAUUUUUAUGUCUGGAUUGAUAAGGAAUAUUAGCCCAUCAGUUCUUUUUUCUUUUACUGACUUUUUAGAGGUUAAAUGUCAUUAUUAUCCUGGCUUUAGGAAGUAGACUCAUGUUUCUGGAGAAAUUGUAUAAGAAUGGUUAAUAUUUCUUAAAUGAUUGGCCCUAUUCAGCAUAGCAUCAUGUGGAUUUAGAGGUGAUUUUCCUUAUGUUUUGAGGAUGGGCCAGUGUGGAAGCUUUUGAUAAUAAAUUCAAAUCUUUU